rnacentral:rRNA from 1 species
AUCGAACGCUGGCGGCAGGCCUAACACAUGCAAGUCGAACGAGUGGCGGACGGGUGAGUAAUGUCUGGGAACCUGCCUGAUGGAGGGGGAAAACUACUGGAAACGGUAGCUAAUACCGCAUACCAUCAGAUGUGCCCAGGGGGGAUUAGCUAGUUGGUGGGGUAACGGCUCACCAAGGCGACGAUCCCCAGCUGGUCUGAGAGGCUGACCAGCCACACGGGAACUGAGACACGGUCCAGACUCCUACGGGAGGCAGCAGUGGGGAAUAUUGCGCAAUGGGCGCAAGCCUGAUGGAGCAAUGCCGCGUGUAUGAAGAAGGCCUUCGGGUUGUAAAGUACUUUCAGCGGGGAGGCGUUACCCGCAGAAGAAGCACCGGCUAACUCCGUGCCAGCAGCCGCGGUAAUUC